rnacentral:rRNA from 1 species
GACGAACCGUGCGAACGUUGUUCGGAAUCACUGGGCUUAAAGGGUGCGUAGGCGGGCUCGAAAGUCAGGGGUGAAAGCCCACGGCUCAACCGUGGAAGUGCCUUUGAUACUGCGAGUCUAGAGGGAGGUAGGGGCGUGCGGAACUUCCGGUGGAGCGGUGAAAUGCGUAGAUAUCGGAAGGAACACCGGUGGCGAAAGCGGCGCGCUGGACCUCAACUGACGCUGAGGCACGAAAGCCAGGGGAGCAAACGGG